GAUGAACGCUGGCGGCGUGCUUAACACAUGCAAGUCGAACGAAGCACUUUAUUUGAUUUCCUUCGGGACUGAUUAUUUUGUGACUGAGUGGCGGACGGGUGAGUAACUCGUGGGUAACCUGCCUUGUACAGGGGGAUAACAGUUGGAAACGGCUGCUAAUACCGCAUAAGCGCCCGGCAUCGCAUGAUGCAGUGUGAAAAACUCCGGUGGUAUAAGAUGUACCCGCGUUGGAUUAGCUAGUUGGGGAGGUAACGGCCCACCAAGGCGACGUUCCAUAGCCGACCAGAGAGGGUGACCGGCGACAUUGAGAGUGAGACGCGGCCCAAAAUCCUACGGGAGGCAGCAGUGGGGAAUAUUGCAAAAUGGGCGAAAGCCUGAUGCAGCGACGCCGCGUGAGCGAAGAAGUAUUUCGGUAUGUAAAGCUCUAUCAGCAGGGAAGAUAAUGACGGUACCUGACUAAGAAGCACCGGCUAAAUACGUG
rnacentral:rRNA from 1 species